AGCCAGUCCUAAACUUUGCCAACUUCAGCCCCAUGAAGGUGGGUCCACCCAGGCACAGAAAAGAGAGAUGGAGGUAUGGGAAGAGAAGGAAAGACAGUGAUUGAGUGAGGGUUGGAGGACUAUUCCACCAGCCAGUCCAUUGCAUAAGUUUCUAUCCCAAGGAGAAUAACGAAAACUCUUGGACCUGGGGAGGAAGAUGACAAAAUCCAACUGUUUAAAAUCUAACCACUGGGACCGAAGAUAAAGUGGUACUAUGUCAAUUUGGACAAGCUGAAGAUUUAAUUUUGUUUCUUCAUUUGCAAAAGGGAGUUAAAGUAAUCCUCACAUCAUAAGGUAGGUAGAGAAACACAAAAUUAUAUAGGGUCUGGCACAUAGUAGGGACUCAGGAAAUGUUAGCAAUCCCAACCAUGUUGAAAC
rnacentral:lncRNA from 1 species